ACCAGAUUUUUCAGACUUUUCUCUCAACUUUGAACCCUCAUUUCUUGAGCAUUUCAAGUCCAAAUCUAGUGAUUCAAGAGUCUAUCUUCAAGAAAUUUUCGCGAGGAAUCCAUGGUGAGCUCGGAAUCUUGAUUAGAAGCUUCGUUUUAGGAAUACAGUGGUGUAAUCAUAAAGUGAUGGAGAAGAUUUUUUUUAGUGGAUUGUCAUUCCGGGCACUGAAUUCGAGAGUUGCUUGUCCGGUGGAGGUAUUCGUGUGCGGUUUCGGCAAUUGAAGUAGGU